GACGUAGGGCGCGAGCGUUGUCCGGAUUUAUUGGGCGUAAAGAGCUCGUAGGCGGCUUGUCGCGUCGACUGUGAAAACCCGCGGCUCAACUGCGGGCCUGCAGUCGAUACGGGCAGGCUAGAGUUCGGUAGGGGGAGACUGGAAUUCCUGGUGUAGCGGUGAAAAUGCGCAGAUAUCAGGGAGGGAACACCCGGGUGGGCGAAAGGGCGGGGUCUCUGGGGCCCGAUACUGACGCUGGAGGAGCGAAAAGCGUGGGGGAGCAAACAGG
rnacentral:rRNA from 1 species